AUUGAACGCUAGCGGGAUGCCUUACACAUGCAAGUCGAACGGCAGCACGGACUUCGGUCUGGUGGCGAGUGGCGAACGGGUGAGUAAUGUAUCGGAACGUGCCCAGUAGCGGGGGAUAACUACUCGAAAGAGUAGCUAAUACCGCAUACGCCCUACGGGGGAAAGGGGGGGAUCGCAAGACCUCUCACUAUUGGAGCGGCCGAUAUCGGAUUAGCUAGUUGGUGGGGUAAAGGCCCACCAAGGCGACGAUCCGUAGCUGGUUUGAGAGGACGAACCGCCACACUGGGACUGGGACGCCGGCACAGACCCUUCGGGGGGCAGGAGUGUGGAAUUUUGGGACAUGGGGGCAACCCUGAUCCAGCCAUCCCGCGUGUGCGAUGAAGGCCUUCGGGUUGUAAAGCACUUUUGGCAGGAAAGAAAUCGCAUGGGUUAAUACCCUGUGUGGAUGACGGUACCUCCAGAAGAAGCCCCGGCUAACUACGUGCCAGCCGCCGCGGUAA
rnacentral:rRNA from 1 species